CCGGCUCCGGGUCCGCGUUGGGGCCGGAGCGUCCCGCACGCCGGUCUCCUCAGUGGACGCGUCUUGGCCACGCCGCCGCCGCGCGACGGGGAGACCGGUUGCUGGUUCCAGUUUGCUCGGUGCUCCAGCUGGAAAGUACCUUGGGAGAUACUCUGACGGCACUCCUUGGAGCGAGGUGAAUGUUGACCAGCCACGACAGUUUCUGGUGACCAUGAGGGGCUGGCUGGGACCCUGCUCACUCCAGAGUCUGCAGACGGGAUCUUGGAAGAACUGGCCAAAGUCCAUGAAAGGCUGGAAUUCUUGCCGCGGCCAGCUGUCUCACAUCUUCGUGUAGUGCCUGGUCUACGCCAGAGAGAAAACGGUAAGCGCUUAUCUUUGUCCCUUCUGUUCCAAAUUCAGACUAGCAGGGGGGAAACGGUUGUAGAAACUAGAUGUUUGAAUUGUGACUCUUGUGGAUUUGAUUCUGGGCAGCCAUUUGUUGACCCUUUGCCUCCAGGGACUCCCCCACACUCUUGCUGUCCUGGUCCUCCUGUGUGUCUCAUCUCUCGCCCUGAAAGCUUGGCGUGGCUUUCCACCACGGGGCGUGCAGGUUAUACACUUGUGUGUGUAGGGCUCAGUUGUCAGGCUGGGGUCCCCAGGAGCGUGGCUGGACACAACUGUGAGUUGCACCCCAUUUGUGGCUAAUCCCGCCCC
rnacentral:lncRNA from 1 species